rnacentral:rRNA from 1 species
CCAAUAGCGUAUAUUAAAGUUGUUGCAGUUAAAAAGCUCGUAGUUGAAUUUCGGGAUUAAUUUACUGGUCGUGCUAUUGUACGUACUGGUUUUAUUGAUUCCUCCCUUCUGACGAACUAUGAUGCCAUUAAUUUGGUGUCAUAGGGAAUCAGGACUGUUACUUUGAAAAAAUUAGAGUGUUUAAAGCAGGCUCACGCUUGAAUACAUUAGCAUGGAAUAACGGAAUAGGACGUUUGAUUCUAUUUUGUUGGUUUCUAGGAUCGACGUAAUGAUUAAUAGGGAUAGUUGGGGGCAUUAGUAUUCAAUUGUCAGAGGUGAAAUUCUUGGAUUUAUUGAAGACUAACUACUGCGAAAGCAUUUGCCAAGGAUGUUUUCAUUAAUCAAGAACGAAAGUUAGGGGAUCGAAGACGAUCAGAUACCGUCGUAGUCUUAACCAUAAACUAUGCCGACUAGGGAUCGGAUGAUGUUAAUUUUUUAAUGACUCAUUCGGCGCCUUACG